GAGUUUGAUCAUGGCUCAGAGCGAACGCUGGCGGCAGGCCUAACACAUGCAAGUCGAACGGACCCUUCGGGGUUAGUGGCGGACGGGUGAGUAACACGUGGGAACGUGCCCUUUGGUACGGAACAACUCAGGGAAACUUGAGCUAAUACCGUAUGUGCCCUUCGGGGGAAAGAUUUAUCGCCAUUGGAGCGGCCCGCGUCUGAUUAGCUAGUUGGUGAGGUAAAGGCUCACCAAGGCUACGAUCAGUAGCUGGUCUGAGAGGAUGAUCAGCCACAUUGGGACUGAGACACGGCCCAAACUCCUACGGGAGGCAGCAGUGGGGAAUCUUGCGCAAUGGGCGAAAGCCUGACGCAGCCAUGCCGCGUGAAUGAUGAAGGUCUUAGGAUUUGUAAAAAUUCUUUUCACCGGGGACGAUAAUGACGGUACCCGGAGAAGAAGCUCCGGCUAACUUCGUGCCAGCAGCCGCAGUAAC
rnacentral:rRNA from 1 species